rnacentral:sRNA from 1 species
AAAGAAGAAGGAAAAAAAUAGAGUAAAAGAGACAUAAAUU